GGUUAUGAGGUCACAACAAUGGAUGAAGCUUCCAAAGAGGGGAACAUUUUUGUCACUACAACAGGGUGCAUGGACAUUGUAGAGGGCAGACACUUUGAACAGAUGAAGGAUGAUUCCAUUGUUUGCAAUAUUGGCCACUUUGAUGUUGAACUCGAUGUAAAAUGGUUGAAUGAAAAUUCUGAU